UACAGAGGUCUCAACCGUUGUUCGGAUUCAUUGGGCGUAAAGGGUGCGUAGGCGGUCUGGCAAGUCUGAUGUGAAAUCUCAGGGCUCAACCCUGAAACUGCAUUCGAUACUGCUAGGCUUGAGUACUGUAGGGGAGACUGGAAUUUACGGUGUAGCAGUGAAAUGCGUAGAUAUCGUAAGGAAGACCAGUGGCGAAGGCGAGUCUCUGGACAGUUACUGACGCUGAGGCACGAAGGCCAGGGGAGCAAACGGG
rnacentral:rRNA from 1 species